rnacentral:rRNA from 1 species
CCCAGAUCGUUUACCGUGAAAAAAUUAGAGUGUUCAAAGCAGGCAGAUCCAAUUUUCUGCCACCGAAUACAUUAGCAUGGGAUAAUGGAAUAGGACCCUGUCCUCCUAUUUUCAGUUGGUUUUGGCAGCGCGAGGACUAGGGUAAUGAUUAAUAGGGAUAGUUGGGGGCAUUAAUAUUUAAUUGUCAGAGGUGAAAUUCUUGGAUUUAUGAAAGAUUAACUUCUGCGAAAGCAUCUGCCAAGGAUGUUUUCAUUAAUCAAGAACGAAAGUUAGGGGAUCGAAGACGAUCAGAUACCGUCGUAGUCUUAACCAUAAACGAUGCCGACCAGCGAUUAGGAGACGUUGAAUACAAAACACCACCAUCGGCGCGGUCGUCCUUGGCGUCGGUCCUUCACGGGGCCGGCGCGAGGGCGGCUUAGCCCGGUGGCACCGGUGAAUGACUCCCCUAGCAGCUUGUGAGA